rnacentral:rRNA from 1 species
GAUGAACGCUAGCGACAGGCCUAACACAUGCAAGUCGAGGGGCAGCAUAGAGGUAGCAAUACUUUGGUGGCGACCGGCGCACGGGUGAGUAACACGUAUGCAACCUACCUGUAAGAGGGGAAUAACCCGGAGAAAUUCGGACUAAUACCGCAUAAAACCACGAAUUCGAAUGGAUUUGUGUUUAAACAUUUAUGGCUUACAGAUGGGCAUGCGUAUGAUUAGCUAGUUGGUAGGGUAACGGCCUACCAAGGCAACGAUAAUUAGGGGUUCCGAGAGGAAGGUCCCCCACACUGGUACUGAGACACGGACCAGACUCCUACGGGAGGCAGCAGUGAGGAAUAUUGGUCAAUGGGCGAGAGCCUGAACCAGCCAAGUCGCGUGAAGGAAGAAGGUUCUAUGGAUUGUAAACUUCUUUUGUAAGGGAAUAAAAAGAGUUACGUGUAACUUAUUGUAUGUACUUUACGAAUAAGGAUCGGCUAACUCCGUGCCAGCAGCCGCCGUAAUAC